rfam:Stegodyphus mimosarum contig14154, whole genome shotgun sequence.
GCCUUCGUGGUGUAAUGGUCAGCACAUUGAGCCGGUAUUUCAGAGGUCCGUGGUUCGAUCCCCGGCGAAGGCA